UCCAGCUCUGUGCUCCCCUCCUUAAGCAUCUCCAGGAGUGGAAGGCUUCAUACAUAUUACCGAGUUGGCGGCCAGGCCUCAGGCCCUCGUGCCCCGGCAGCGCAGUGGGGGCGGUGAGCUGGUGCCAUCGCCGCCUCAGAGGAGGAAGCCGAGACCGCAGGGCCCUCAGGCCGGGCAGGCCCAGGGCCUCCGCUGCGCCCCGGGGCGGGCCUGCGUUCGUUCGCCCCGCAACUCCCUGCAGGUGUGAGGGGCUCGGCCGUCCCUCCCCUCCUCGGCUCUCCUGGCCCAGUGCUGCCUGGGUUCAGCGCCUGCAAAUGUUGUCUCUUGCCCCGUUUCCUCGUGGAGGGCGCCUGAGUCUCGUUCUAGGUUCUCCAUCCUGGCAAGCAGGCCCUGGCGUUUGACCGAAGCACGAGCAAGAGGGUGAACCAUGCUUAAGGCCAACAGGGUUGAACCUGGGAGUAGCCAGAAGAAUAGAAGUCUGAAAGAGCGUAAUCCAUGUGUCCUGUGCACCUGCAACCGACAAUGCUACAUCACCUUGAUUACUGGUUGCUAUACCUGCGAGUGGCAAGUCAAACAGGAGAAAAUGUCUAGACCUGGACCCUGCUGCUGCUGUUGGAGAGAGCGAUUAUUUUACCCAUUUGUGAUUAUUUCAUUUUUCUUGUCUGUGAUUUUGCUGUUCGUGUGGAUAGAAACUUCAAAUGAAUACUUUGGCUUUGACUGGGUCGUUUUUCUAGGUACAGGAUACUGGUUCUUUUGGUCCAUUGUUUUGCUCAGUUUAUUUGGGAUCCUGGCUGCCUACUCUUCAUUGCUGGUGGUACUUGCAUUUUUGUUAGUUUGGGAAGGGUAUGAACUAUACCUGCACUGGUGUCAUAAGAUCGUGAUUCUGAUAGUGAUUAUGAUAUGCUCAUUUUUUCUCUGGAUUUUAUGCAAGUUCUGGCGAGACAGGUGGCUGACAGCUGGGCUGUCACUUCAGGUCUUUGCUCCUUACAUACACCUGAGCAGCAUAACUGUGAUGGUUAUCCUUUCCUGGCCUGUGGCCUUCUACUUGAUCCAUUUGGAAGAAGAAGCUAGAGUCAGAAGAUACAAGAUGGCACACAAUGACAGAGAAAGAACCAAGAGAUGUAAUAUAAUCACAAAGUUGAGAGCUCUACAGGUGGCUAUUGGAUUGCCUUUUUUCUUCAUCCUUUUAUGUCUCUAUGUUGUGCCAUUGGGGAUUCAUUCUCCCUGCAUUCAGGAGGAGGGUAAAUUGGGACCCAAGCCAGACUUCUUUGGACAUAGAGGGGCACCCAUGCUGGGGCCUGAGAAUACCAUGAUGGCCUUUGAGAAAGCUGUUGAACAAGGGGCCUAUGGGCUGGAGAGUGAUGUACAUUUAAGUUAUGAUCUUGUGCCUUUUCUUAUGCAUGACAGUGACCUGAGAAGAACAACCAAUAUUAGGGAGGUCAUGCCAAAUGCCUCCUUCACACACAGUAGCCUCUUCACGUGGAGUUUCCUGUCGACUCUGAAUGCAGGCAAAUGGUUUGUACAAUCACGGUUCAAACCAUUUUACAAAAUGAAACGCCUCUCAAAGGCUGAUCGUGAAAAAGCAGAAAAUCAGACGAUUCCAAGACUAACUGAUUUAUUGGAACUUGCACAGAAGGAACAAAAAUUUGUGAUAUUUGAUCUUAAUGGCCCUACACGAAAACAUCCUCUCAGAAACACAUAUGUUCGCCAUGUAGUAAGCGUGAUCCUUGCAUCUAAAAUUGAGCAACAUCUGAUUUUUUGGUUGUCAAGUUUUGAUAGGCAGUAUGUCAGAAACGCAGCUCCUGGUUUUCAGCAAGUGGGCCGGUUAUUUUCCAUUGAACGUCUUACAAAAGAAAAUAUCAGUAUAAUAAAUGUUGACUACAAGAGGUUAUUCUACAGUGGGUUGAGAGAUUAUAAAGCAGCUAACAUCACAAUCAAUUUAUACAUCGUCAAUGAACCUUGGCUCUACUCACUGGCCUGGUGCUCCAGGAUUCAUUCAGUGACCACAGACAACAUUCAGAUCCUGAGGCAGAUAAAUCACCCUUACUUCUUCAUGACACCAGGUUACUAUAUGUUCAUGUGGCUUUUCAUGGAUAGUGUUUCUGCGGUUCUCAUUGUUACCAUAUUUUAUUUUCAUUGGUGGAGAGAGAGGAAAAAAGAAAUGUUCGAUAAUGCCAGCAUUUACACAGAUCCUAAAAGUAUAAGCCUCCAAAAGAGAGAACAGGGAAGUCAAGGAUCUUCAAAUGUAUCCACAAAGGCUCCCUUCCGAGUUAUGGAAAGUCCUUGGACUCUAGCAGCCCUCUACCCAACUUUAACCAAGAACACAAAGAAACACCCAGGCACUCAUCAUUUUUUAGUAGUCCCCAAGAAGAAAGCCAGUGAACCAGAGCAAGCCAAGAAAACCAUAAAACCACUGAUGCCUCAGAAGGAUGCUGUUAGACAGCUGGCAUCCACCGAGAAGUCAUUUGAACCCACAUGGGAUGCUACCAGAAAGGCUACCUUCCAAACUGCAUUACCUUCCCCGAAGAUGAAUAAACCAACAAUUUCUUCCUUAGAGAUCCUUGAAUCUGAAACAGAACCUGAAAAUACCUCCAGUAGUGAGCCCUCCCAAGAAUCCUCUCUUAUGUUUUCUACCACAUCCAGCAUAUUCUCCUCUGGGCUGCUUUCAAAGAAGAAUUAGCUACAUCUUGCCUUCUUCUUCCUUUUUGUUUCUGUGCGUAAGAGUGGUGAUGGUGGAUAGUGGUCAAGAAAGGAGUGCAGAGGGCCAUUGAGGCUCUCAGGAGGAUCGCUCUGGUCUAGCAUUUUCCAUAAAGAAUGCAUCUCAAAGGUAUGGGCAAGGGAGUUGUGGUCUUGGAGCUGGAGCUGGUUGUUCUCUGAUGUUACAGGGUUUCUCAUCUUAACCCUUCAUAACACUCCCUGCUAAAGGAAUGGCUUUGUGCGUAUCAGCAUGGGAAUAAAGACAACCUCUCAGGAACCCAGAAGAGAAAUGGUGUAUUCUUUGAACCCUUCUGUGAUCACUCAGGUUGACAGAAACUAGGGGAUGAGUUCAAAAGUGAUGCCAUCCUAAGUCAGAGAAUGAGAAACGGCAUAGGACAUGGGCAUGAGUUGGAGGAAAGAUCAUCUUACAUGCACAUUCUGUGAUCUAGCGUGUAGUGAGAUGCUUCCUAAUAGCUUGUUGAUGGCUGAUUCUCCAAUGGGAUGAUGGGCAUAAUCCCAUGCCCACCCAAUGGCCCUAGACCUUGAGCAAAAAUCAGAGCCACAGCAAGUGUCUGGAGACUUACCGAUUUGGAGGAUUCCAAAGAAGGCAAGCAUGGAUCUACCAAGUGAAAGAAGCAAUGCAAUGAGAUAAAAGUGGAAUAUUUUUAGAUACUUUAUUAAUCAAACCAAGCAUAUCCUCUAGAGCUUUAUCCUCUUGACACUAAGAUAUUCAGGAACCAGCAGCCCCUGACAUAGAAAAUGAGUCAUGGAAAACCCCUGAACAGGGGCCACCUUCCAGCCAGCCUAACCCCCCAGAACUUUCAGAUGUCCAAGCUUCCUCUGUGUC